UGAAGUACGUGACCGAAAGGAGCGUCCUAGGGUAAAACGGAUAACUGGGGCUAAGUCGUAACAAGGUAGCCGUACCGGAAGGUGUGGCUGGAAUACCUCCUUU
rnacentral:rRNA from 1 species